rnacentral:rRNA from 1 species
GAUCCUGGCUCAGGACGAACGCUGGCGGCGUGCUUAACACAUGCAAGUCGAACGGAAAGGCCCCUUUGGGGGUACUCGAGUGGCGAACGGGUGAGUAACACGUGAGUAACCUGCCCUUGACUUCGGGAUAACUUCAGGAAACUGGGGCUAAUACCGGAUAGGAAUCCUUGCUGCAUGGUGGGGGUUGGAAAGCUUCGGCGGUUUUGGAUGGACUCGCGGCUUAUCAGCUUGUUGGUGGGGUAGUGGCUUACCAAGGCUUUGACGGGUAGCCGGCCUGAGAGGGCGACCGGCCACAUUGGGACUGAGAUACGGCCCAGACUCCUACGGGAGGCAGCAGUGGGGAAUAUUGCACAAUGGGCGGAAGCCUGAUGCAGCAACGCCGCGUGCGGGAUGACGGCCUUCGGGUUGUAAACCGCUUUCAGCAGGGGCGAAGCUUUUGUGACGGUACCUGCAGAAGAAGCACCGGCUAACUACGUGCCAGCAGCCGCGGUGAUACGUAGGGUGCGAGCGUUGUCCGGAUUUAUUGGGCGUAAAGAGCUCGUAGGUGGUUGAUUGCGUCGGAAGUGAAAACUUGGGGCUUAACCCUGAGCGUGCUUUCGAUACGGGUUGACUUGAGGAAGGUAGGGGAGAAUGGAAUUCCUGGUGGAGCGGUGGAAUGCGCAGAUAUCAGGAGGAACACCAGUGGCGAAGGCGGUUCUCUGGACCUUUCCUGACGCUGAGGAGCGAAAGCGUGGGGAGCGAACAGGCUUAGAUACCCUGGUAGUCCACGCUGUAAACGGUGGGUACUAGGUGUGGGGUCCAUUCCACGGAUUCCGUGCCGUAGCUAACGCAUUAAGUACCCCGCCUGGGGAGUACGGCCGCAAGGCUAAAACUCAAAGGAAUUGACGGGGCCCCGCACAAGCGGCGGAGCAUGCGGAUUAAUUCGAUGCAACGCGAAGAACCUUA